rnacentral:rRNA from 1 species
AGAACGUCGUGAGACAGUUCGGUCCCUAUCCGCUGUGCGCGUAGGAGUCUUGAGAAGGGCUGUCCCUAGUACGAGAGGACCGGGACGGACGAACCUCUGGUGUGCCAGUUGUUCUGCCAAGGGCAUGGCUGGUUGGCUACGUUCGGGAGGGAUAACCGCUGAAAGCAUCUAAGCGGGAAGCCUGCUUCGAGAUGAGGACUCCCACCCCUUGAAGGGGGUAAGGCUCCCGGGAGACGACCGGGUUGAUAGGCCAGAGAUGGAAGCCGGGUGACCGGUGGAGUUGACUGGUACUAAUAGGCCGAGGGCUUGUCCG